rnacentral:rRNA from 1 species
GACGUAGGGCGCGAGCGUUGUCCGGAUUUAUUGGGCGUAAAGCGUCCGCAGGUGGCAGUUCAAGUCUGCUGUCAAAGACCGGGGCUUAACUUCGGAAAGGCAGUGGAAACUGAACAGCUAGAGUAUGGUAGGGGCAGAGGGAAUUCCUGGUGUAGCGGUGAAAUGCGUAGAGAUCAGGAAGAACAUCGGUGGCGAAGGCACUCUGCUGGACCAUAACUGACACUCAGGGACGAAAGCUAGGGGAGCGAAUGGG